rnacentral:rRNA from 1 species
AGAACUUUCCAGAGAUGGAUUGGUGCCUUCGGGAACUCUGAGACAGGUGCUGCAUGGCUGUCGUCAGCUCGUGUUGUGAAAUGUUGGGUUAAGUCCCGCAACGAGCGCAACCCUUUAUCCUUUGUUGCCAGCGGUUAGGCCGGGAACUCAAAGGAGACUGCCAGUGAUAAACUGGAGGAAGGUGGGGAUGACGUCAAGUCAUCAUGGCCCUUACGAGUAGGGCUACACACGUGCUACAAUGGCGCAUACAAAGAGAAGCGACCUCGCGAGAGCAAGCGGACCUCAUAAAGUGCGUCGUAGUCCGGAUUGGAGUCUGCAACUCGACUCCAUGAAGUCGGAAUCGCUAGUAAUCGUGGAUCAGAAUGCCACGGUGAAUACGUUCCCGGGCCCUGUACACACCGCCCGUCACACCAUGGGAGUGGGUUGCAAAAGAAGUAGGUAGCUUAACCUUCGGGAGGGCGCUUACCACUUUGUGAUUCAUGACUGGGGUGAAGUCGUAACAAGGUAAGCGUAGUGCU